CGGGCGGUGGCUCAGUCAGGCAGAGCGCUACGUUCGGGACGUAGAGGUCGCGAGUUCGAAUCUCGCCCGCCCGA
rnacentral:tRNA from 2 species